GCGCGGGUGGCGGAAUUGGUAGACGCACCGGAUUUAGGUUCCGACGCUUUACGGCAUGCGGGUUCGAGUCCCGCCCCGCGCA
rnacentral:tRNA from 1 species